rnacentral:misc_RNA from 1 species
UCAAACUUGGUCAUUUAGAGGAAGUAAAAGUCGUAACAAGGUCUCCGUUGGUGAACCAGCGGAGGGAUCAUUAUCGAGUUACCAAACUCCAAACCAUUGUGAACAUACCAUGUUGCCUCGGCGGCCGGUCUCCGGGCCGCCGCCGGGGGACCAAACUCUUGUAUCUGUAGUGGAUCUUCUGAGUGGCAUAAGCAAAUAAUCAAAACUUUCAGCAACGGAUCUCUUGGCUCUGGCAUCGAUGAAGAACGCAGC